rnacentral:rRNA from 1 species
AACGAACGCUGGCGGCAUGCCUAACACAUGCAAGUCGAACGAGACCUUCGGGUCUAGUGGCGCACGGGUGCGUAACGCGUGGGAACCUUCCCUUAGGUUCGGAAUAACUCUCCGAAAGGGGUGCUAAUACCGGAUAAUGUCUUCGGACCAAGGAUUUAUCGCCUUUGGAUGUUCCCGCGUUGGAUUAGCUAGUUGUUAGGGUAAAAGCCUACCAAGGCGACGAUCCAUAGCUGGUCUGAGAGGAUGAUCAGCGACACUGGGACUGAGACACGGCCGAGACUCCUACGGGAAGCAGCAGUGGGGAAUAUUGGACAAUGGGCGAAAGCCUGAUCCAGCAAGGACGCGUGAGUGAUGAAGGCCUUAAGGUUGUAAAGCUCUUUUACCCGGGAUGAUAAUGACAGUACCGGGAGAAUAAGCUCCGGCUAACUCCGUG